CAGUAGACGACUGGGUUGAUAGGCCGGAUCUGGAAGCCAGGUAACUGGUGGAGGUGACCGGUACUAAUAGGCCGAGGGCUUGUCCUCAGUUG
rnacentral:rRNA from 1 species